GCAACAGCCUUUUCUACUUUUUCUACUUUGCAGAAGAAGAUGCUGAUAUUGUCAUCCCAAAUGAGUGUCUGGCAAAGGACAGUUUUCUGCAGACGGGUUCAGGGAUUGGAAGACUGCUUUGGAGACAGGGACUUUGACCGACAUGACGCAGGCCAACACCACAAGCAACUAUCAAAAGCGUACUUGAUAAAUGAUCCAGAUGAUGCACAGCUGUCGGCACAGACAGCCUAACAAAUUGAGUUUAAAACAAAAGAAAGGGAGAGCCGAUUCCAGGCAGUAUUCAGCCUUGUAGACAUGGCAUCUACACUCGCCAGAUUGAGAUUGCCCUUUCGAGGCCAUGAUGAAUCUGAAACGUCAAAAACAAAGGUGUUUUCCGAGAAAUAACCGGAUUAGUGGGAAGAUAUGAUGAAGUUCUUCAUACCCACAUCGAAUUGUAGGGAUGGCCCGAUACCAAUACUGAACAAACUAUCGAUCAGCAAUCUUCCGAUGUGGAAGAACAACCCCUCUACAGUAACGCUACUCUACUCGACCCCAGCUGCAAUAUGCCAAGGAGUUGCUGAUGCGUGAGCUGUUGAAGUCGUCUGGAGAAGAGGAGGAUCCUGACCUGCACGAACCUCCUGUCAGAAAACCCUGCAGGGACCAGGCAAGCAGUAGCCUGGACAGUAUAUAUAUGAUGAAGUAGCAGAUGAGCAAGCACCAGUCUUGCUACACAUAGCUCAAGUAGGUUCUACUGCACAAUUAGAGACAUGCCUAAGGGAGACCACAAUUUCUUGAGAACAAACCACUAGAAUACUGGGCAGUUAACAAAGUGCAGUUCCCUACUCUGGCCAAAAUGGCAU